GAUGAACGCUGGCGGCGUGCCUAAUACAUGCAAGUCGAGCGAACAGACGAGGAGCUUGCUCCUCUGACGUUAGCGGCGGACGGGUGAGUAACACGUGGAUAACCUACCUAUAAGACUGGGAUAACUUCGGGAAACCGGAGCUAAUACCGGAUAAUAUAUUGAACCGCAUGGUUCAAUAGUGAAAGACGGUUUUGCUGUCACUUAUAGAUGGAUCCGCGCCGCAUUAGCUAGUUGGUAAGGUAACGGCUUACCAAGGCAACGAGGCGUAGCCGACCUGAGAGGGUGAUCGGCCACACUGGAACUGAGACACGGUCCAGACUCCUACGGGAGGCAGCAGUAGGGAAUCUUCCGCAAUGGGCGAAAGCCUGACGGAGCAACGCCGCGUGAGUGAUGAAGGUCUUCGGAUCGUAAAACUCUGUUAUUAGGGAAGAACAACUGUGUAAGUAACUAUGCACGUCUUGACGGUACCUAAUCAGAAAGCAACGGCUAACUACGUG
rnacentral:rRNA from 1 species